GGGGUUGUGGCUCAGUGGUAGAGCACUGGCCUAUCAUGUGGGAGGCACUGGGUUCGGUUCCCAGCAGCGCAU
rfam:Ictidomys tridecemlineatus contig042539, whole genome shotgun sequence.